AGAGUUUGAUCCUGGCUCAGGAUGAACGCUGGCGGCGUGCUUAACACAUACAAGUCGAACGAACCUUCGGGUUAGUGGCGGACGGGUGAGUAACGCGUGAGAAUCUGCCCUCAGGAGGGGGAUAACGGUUGGAAACGACCGCUAAUACCCCAUAUGCCGAGAGGUGAAAUGAAUUUCGCCUGAGGAUGAGCUCGCGUCUGAUUAGUUAGUUGGUGGGGUAAUGGCCUACCAAGACAUCGAUCAGUAGCUGGUCUGAGAGGAUGAUCAGCCACACUGGGACUGAGACACGGCCCAGACUCCUACGGGAGGCAGCAGUGGGGAAUUUUCCGCAAUGGGCGAAAGCCUGACGGAGCAACGCCGCGUGAGGGAUGAAGGCCUCUGGGCUGUAAACCUCUUUUAUCAAGGAAGAAGAUCUGACGGUACUUGAUGAAUAAGCCACGGCUAAUUCCGUGCCAGCAGCCGCGGUAAUACGGGAGUGGCAAGCGUUAUCCGGAAUUAUUGGGCGUAAAGCGUCCGCAGGCGGUCUGUCAAGUCUGCUGUUAAAGCGUGGAGCUUAACUCCAUUCCGGCAGUGGAAACUGACAGACUAGAGUGUGGUAGGGGCAGAGGGGAUUCCCGGUGUAGCGGUGAAAUGCGUAGAUAUCGGGAAGAACACCAGUGGCGAAGGCGCUCUGCUGGGCCAUAACUGUCGCUCAUGGACGAAAGCCAGGGGAGCGAAAGGGAUUAGAUACCCCUGUAGUCCUGGCCGUAAACGAUGAACACUAGGUGUCGGGGGAAUCGACCCCCUCGGUGUCGUAGCCAACGCGUUAAGUGUUCCGCCUGGGGAGUACGCACGCAAGUGUGAAACUCAAAGGAAUUGACGGGGGCCCGCACAAGCGGUGGAGUAUGUGGUUUAAUUCGAUGCAACGCGAAGAACCUUACCAGGGUUUGACAUCCUGCGAAUCUCUUGGAAACGAGAGAGUGCCUUCGGGAACGCAGUGACAGGU
rnacentral:rRNA from 1 species